CUGGAUUCGACGGGAUUUGCGAAACCCAAGGUGCAUGCCGAGGGGCGGUUGGCCUCGUAAAAAGCCGCAAAAAAUAGUCGCAAACGACGAAAACUACGCUUUAGCAGCUUAAUAACCUGCUUAGAGCCCUCUCUCCCUAGCCUCCGCUCUUAGGACGGGGAUCAAGAGAGGUCAAACCCAAAAGAGAUCGCGUGGAAGCCCUGCCUGGGGUUGAAGCGUUAAAACUUAAUCAGGCUAGUUUGUUAGUGGCGUGUCCGUCCGCAGCUGGCAAGCGAAUGUAAAGACUGANAAAAAAUAGUCGCAAACGACGAAAACUACGCUUUAGCAGCUUAAUAACCUGCUUAGAGCCCUCUCUCCCUAGCCUCCGCUCUUAGGACGGGGAUCAAGAGAGGUCAAACCCAAAAGAGAUCGCGUGGAAGCCCUGCCUGGGGUUGAAGCGUUAAAACUUAAUCAGGCUAGUUUGUUAGUGGCGUGUCCGUCCGCAGCUGGCAAGCGAAUGUAAAGACUGACUAAGCAUGUAGUACCGAGGAUGUAGGAAUUUCGGACGCGGGUUCAACUCCCGCCAGCUC
rnacentral:tmRNA from 1 species